rnacentral:lncRNA from 1 species
UGCUUUUCACCGUCUUUGUAACCCAAUCAAAUUAAAAUCGGUGUCAUUCUUCUUCACCGCCUAUCUGUUGGUUACUUUAUUUUGCUCUCAGAUUUUACUUUCCGAUAUUCCACCACCGCUCACUUUAUCCUCCCCAAAUCGAGUUCCUCCCUUCUUCUACCUUUUGCUACCUCCGCCGCUUCUCAGCUGUGCUUUGCCAAAAUUUUCAGUCGAGGAUUUCCACUACCUCCACUGCUUCUUAGUUGCAUUGUGCUUUGCCAAAAUUCUCAGUCGGGGAAUUCCAAAUUUCAAGCCUUGCGAUUUUGGUGGAAAAGUAUUGGUUCACAACAAACCUAGAUCGAUUAUUGAGAUGCUUCUCGAACCUUUUGAUAACCACCCCACCGAUUCAUUGAUUGUUCUCCACCGCCUUAUCUCAUGUAUUUGAUUUUUUUCUCACUGCCUCCAUCAGAGGCUCACACGCUCUCCACCGGUCAUCCUCCUACUACAGACUUUUUUUUUCUCUUCAUCCCUCUCUCUCUCUCUCUGCAAUCGAUUCGAUUUUGCUUCUCUUCUACUUUCAUUUUCCUCUCUUACUCCAUUUCUGCUGUAAUAGAAUCCUUAGAGAUAUAAAAAUGUCGAUCCCUUCCACUCAUGUCGUCUUUUCUGUGCCCUUUUAUUCCAACUCGAAUCUCAGGUCUCAUCGGUAAGGUAAGGAAGUAACAUAGCUUCAAACCUAGGAGCCAAAGUUAGAACCACUUACUACUAUUUGUCGAUUUUCUGUAUCUGGUCGUCGUCACCAUCAAACCCAAUUUUUCACUGGGUUUUUAUUUUUGUCGCAAGUUACUUUUGCAGUUGUUGCACACACCAACUGCUGGAUAUAUUGCUCCAAAGAAUAAUCAUCUUUUUACUUUCUUUUGAUGCCAUUAUAUAAUGUUUCAUUUCAUGAUUUCAAUACAGGUAUGUGACAGAACAGGAGAAUAAAAUUCUCUCUAAUUUAGGUUCGUUCAUGACAUUUUUUUGUUAUAUCCCAGCCAAUCUCUGUGAUUUAAUGUUGUUUGCUACAUUUAAUUUCAGGUUAGCACUAUCGAGAGGACACCAUCAAUGACUUUACUGAGUUAAAUACUUCUUGGGGCUUUUCACUUUUGUUAAAAAUCAAACACAUUUAUCUAAAAAUAUGUCAUUUUUAACAUGUUGGUAUUUUUUAAAGAACACCUUAAAUAAAAUGAUCUUUCCUUUGUAUUCAGGUUGGCUCAAAUCCACUAUUUUCUCCUACUAACUCCAACUUUAUUUUGUCACCAUCAUAAAGUAUUUUAUACAUAAACGUUUCUUAUGUUGCUAAUAUAGAAUUUUUUCAUAGGCUAUAUAUUAAAAGAAAAGUUAAUAUUGUUUUUGUGUUAAUCAAGAAGUAACGAAUGCAUACAACGUUAUUGGUCAUAUUACAUAAUUAAUAAUUUGGUAGUAAUAUUUUAAUAAAAGUAAACAAAUCUAUUAAUUGGCUCAUUAAGAGAAAAUCAAUUUGACACUAUAAUAAUGUUAGAUAAUAUAAAAAAUUGAUAAUAAUAAUAAAUUUAAAAAAAUUCCAUAUACAUUGCUUUUAAACAUCAAUUAAAAAUGAAUUAUGACUUUAAGUCUUUUGUUUGUUUUAGGUUUAAAUGCAAGAAAUAGCAACACAGUUUCAUUGAUAUGCCCAUUAUACCACCCUACUUGCAUUUCUUCAUAACAUAUCCCUCCACAAAAAGUAAUAAUCAUUAUAGUUUUUGUACAAUGUUGUUUUAGGAAUGCAAAAAAAUUGGGAGGUGGAAUAAGGGAAACAUAAUUUGUUAUGACUUUUGUCGGCUGAAAAUUGACUGAAAAGGAGCUUCAACCAAUCAAGCAUCCUUCUCUGUUUAGUGUCGCGCCGAGUCUGAUUUAUUUUUAGCUAAAUGAGAUUGAGAUUCUGCCCCCCGCGGAGCGGGGUAACCCUCUAAUUCUUAUUAAAAAAAUGUAUGCCUACAUUCAUUCUAAUGUAAUAAAAAAUUAUAUUUCUCUUGCUAAUAUAAUAUUUUAUUGCUAAAUAUAUAUAGAAACAAAAUAAAAUGGUAAUAUAUAAGUUUAACCAUUAUUGCUGGAAGUAUGUGAAAGAUAAUCUACAAAUGUUUAAAUAUAAAAAAAUGAUAUAUAAAUAAAACAAAAAGAAUGCAUGCUGUAAAUAAAUAAAAUAAAUAAUAUUUACGAGAUAAUAUUUAUUGGGAAGAUGCCACAGUUUGAAUGUAACUUUUUACCAAAGCCUAAAAAAAGAAUAAUAAUAAAAAUUAAUUAAUAUAAGUUAAAAUAGAGUGGAGUUUUAUAGGAUGGAGUGUAGAAAUAAAAAGCCUAUGACUAUUUAUUUAUGACAAAACUGCACAAAUGGUCCCUGUGGUAUGUUAAAAAUUGCCACUUUGGUUCAAAAAGGUUUGGACUAGCACCAGUGGUCCAAAACUUUCAUUUUGUUGCGUCUUUGAUCCAAUAUGUUCUGAUUUUUUUCAAAAUGACGGAUCUGCCCCUGCUAAUAUAUUUUAUCUUUUUUCUUAUUUGUUUUUCUUAUUUUCAGAUUUAAAAAAAAAAAACAAUAAAAUAAAUCUCUCUAUCUCUUUUUAAAAAAACAAGAAAAUAAAAAUAAAUAUCUCUCUCUCUCUCUCUCUCUCUCUCUCUCUCUCUCUCUCUC